GCCGGUUCGGGUUUCCUCGUGGGCAGAACAGAGCUCCUUUUGGCUAGUGCAGCUUUAUGGGCUCGCCUGGGUUUAUUAUACUGCAAAUGUUUUGAAUUCCACAUGUUAAUUUCCAGAGAGGCUUUGUUUCACUUUUGCUGCUUCCCCACCCCCCCCACCUUUUCCAUUUCUUUUUUUUUAUUACUACUGCCCUAACCUCUUCUUUUGGACUGGGUUUUGGUCAUAGCUGCCGUUUUCUGAGCAAACAGAGGACUGGAAUUCUCCCUGCCUGGGCUCCAGCUGCAAAUUAAUCUCUUUUCAUCGUUUCGUUUUAUGUCCACCCACUAUCCCCACCACAUUAACUCAGUCAACACAUGGAAGUGAAAUUUUUCCAUGCAGGAUCCCACGGGUUGUAAGGCUGUUGUGGAGCACGUGACUGCCAGCUCCAGGGUUUUCUUGCACCUCUGGGUGGAAGGAAGUUUUCUCAUCCCCCACAUAUGCGAGCGGUUGCCGGUGGGAUGUGAAAAGUUUUAACAAGUGGAGUCGGUGGAAACAUUUCGGCGUUCAGCAGCAUUCCUGUGUGUAUUGAAAGUCCCAGCGCAGCAGCCGGGUGGAGGCACGGCCUCUGCAGCAAUUUUUCUGACCAGAAAAACACUCCCAGUAUGGAUGAAAACAGAACCGGAGAUAUUCUGAAAACAUGCAAAAGUUUGUUUCAAAAGCAAGCAGUUGCCGCCUUGCCCAGCGCUGGUCACUGUAGAAAAGCACAGCAAGCCUUUCACCACGUGCUGCUUCACCCUUCUGAACAGCUCUGCCAAGGUAUUUAAAUCAACCAAAUCAUCCUCCAUCCCUCACCAGUGGCCACCACAUCAUCAAUAUUUUAGAAUCAAGUUCUGCCCUGGAGAGGAGGCUCCUUGACAAAGCAGUGAUGAUCCUCACUGAGGGAUUUUGGAUCACCUCUGGAUAUACUGCAAGUAAAAUAUUUUCUCUUAACAUCUGCCUCAUCUGGAAGCUGAAGGGCGGGCUGGCUGAUUUUAUGCAUCACUCUUGACCUGUGUUAUGAUUUCAGCAACGAGAAUCUGGUUUCCAAUUGUGGUAUUGUAAGGCAAGAGGAUAGACCAGGUGCCUAGUGUGUCCGAAUCAAACCCCAAACCAAUAAUAUCUUAUUUUAGUUGCUGAAACAGAAACUAUGAAUCUAAAUACCCAUAAGGAGCAGAUGAACUGGACAACCAUCAAUAUCAGGCAGACAUUGUUCCAGCAAUGGUAUCUGCACUUUAUUUCUGUCAGCAAGUUUAGGUAGUGAUGUGUCUCUUGCUUCAUUUAAAAACUGGGAGAUAGUGAGGUCCAAGAUGACAAUUUAUAUAAUUAGAAUUUCAAAAUAAUACAUUAUGCCCCAUUUUCUGGUACAUAGAGAUUAACUGUGAAAAGGCCAGAGCUGGCAGAAAUGUGGAUUUCCUCAACUUUUGCACAUCUUUCUUUGUGCUGCCCCUGGUAGGACUGGGACUGCCAUGACUUUCCCACAGGUGGCAGUGAAAAUUGAUCAGAGGUCCAGCCAGCUCCUCUGCUUCACCUAAGUAUAACACAAGAAGUGGACAAGAAACGUGAAUGCUAAAAAAGUAAAAUCCACUCCAGCUCCAGGUAAAGGCAAUGUACCAACUCCUUUUCAGUGCUCUCUGACACACACAAUUGGUCCUUGAACUGGUAUCAUUUGGUCUGCUAGUAAAACAAAUCAUAAUGUUCAAUAUAAAGUAAAUCAGGAAGAGAGGAAGAAACUGCAAUUCAGCAGUAAGCAUCUGAGUAGUGUGGAAACAAGUGCUGGUGGGGGCU
ensembl:lncRNA